CUCUCCCGUGCUUGUUCUCGUUCCUCCAUCCCUGCUGCUGCGCUCGAGCCCCGUCAGGUCCCACUGGGACUGUCGCCACGGCUUCCUAACUGGUUUUCCUGUGAGUCCUUCCCACUGCAGUGUUCUGAACACAGCAACCUGUGUGAUCGAGCCGUGCCGUGCUUUUAUAAAUAGAGCGAGGAUUGUUCGUGCCGAUCCUCGGGCAUGCUGAGGCUGCUGCCCGGGCACGCUCAUUCUGCUGACAGGAUCUUGCUAUUCAUGCUGGCCUUGAACUCACUCUGUAGCCCAGGCUGGCCUUGAACUGGUGGUGAUCCUCCUACCUUUGCCUCCGAGUGCUGGGAUUACAGAAUAUGUGUGAAGAUAGAAUCAAAAACUGUCCUUUCCCAAUUGUUGAAGGCUGAGGAGUGAGAGUUAUGACUUCUGAGAACGUUGGCGAUGCGGAUUCUGAAGUCCGGCCACCAGCUUUUACCGUGGCUAGGCCUCAGUCUCCUGACCUGCAUUUCAUAGAAAGUGAAGGCACCUAUUGUGGGUCUGUAGAUUUGUUGUGAGAAUCAAACUGUUGAUGCACAUCCUUUGUUAUGCUGUUG
ensembl:lncRNA